rnacentral:rRNA from 1 species
GACGAACGCUGGCGGCGUGCCUAAUACAUGCAAGUCGAACGCGUCUACGUUAAUGAAAUCAAUGUGCUUGCACGGCGAUGGAUUUAACAUUAGACGAGUGGCGAACUGGUGAGUAACACGUGGGUAACCUGCCCUCAAGCAGGGGAUAACACUUGGAAACAGAUGCUAAUACCGCAUAAACCUCAAAAGCACAUGCUUUUGAGUUGAAAGAUGGCGUAAGCUAUCGCUUUUGGAUGGACCCGCGGCGUAUUAGCUAGUUGGUGAGGUAAAGGCUCACCAAGGCUGUGAUACGUAGCCGACCUGAGAGGGUAAUCGGCCACAUUGGGACUGAGACACGGCCCAAACUCCUACGGGAGGCAGCAGUAGGGAAUCUUCCACAAUGGACGAAAGUCUGAUGGAGCAACGCCGCGUGAGUGAAGAAGGUUUUCGGAUCGUAAAACUCUGUUGUUGGAGAAGAACGUACGUGAGAGUAACUGUUCACGUAGUGACGGUAUCCAACCAGAAAGCCACGGCUAACUACGUGCCAGCCGCCGCAGUAAUAC